rnacentral:tRNA from 1 species
ACUUAAAUAGCUUAUUUAUAGAGUAUAACACUGAAAAUGUUAAGGAAAAUUUAUUUUUUAAGUA